rnacentral:rRNA from 1 species
AUUGAACGCUGGCGGCAGGCCUAACACAUGCAAGUCGAGCGGAUGAAGGGAGCUUGCUCCUGGAUUCAGCGGCGGACGGGUGAGUAAUGCCUAGGAAUCUGCCUGGUAGUGGGGGAUAACGUCCGGAAACGGGCGCUAAUACCGCAUACGUCCUGAGGGAGAAAGUGGGGGAUCUUCGGACCUCACGCUAUCAGAUGAGCCUAGGUCGGAUUAGCUAGUUGGUGGGGUAAAGGCCUACCAAGGCGACGAUCCGUAACUGGUCUGAGAGGAUGAUCAGACAAACUUGGACUGGGCACCGGGCCCAACCCCCUAGGGGGGGAGCAGGUGGGAAUUUUGGGGAAAGGGGGAAAACCCUUACCCACCCUUGCCGGGGGUUGAAAGAAGUUUUUCGGUUUGUAAAGCUUUUUAAGUUGGGAGGAGGGGAAGUAAUUUAAUACCUGGUUGUUUUGCCUUUCCCAACAAAAAAAGCCCCGGCUAACUUCGU